AGAUUGAACGCUGGCGGCAUGCCUAACACAUGCAAGUCGAACGCGAAAGGGGGCAACCCUGAGUAGAGUGGCGGACGGGUGAGGAACACAUCGGAAUUUACCUCGAGAUGGGGGAUAACCAAGGGAAACUUUGGCUAAUACCGCAUGAUCUCGCGAGAGCAAAGGAGGGGACCGCAAGGCCUCUUGUCUUGAGAUGAGCCGAUGUCCGAUUAGCUAGUUGGUAGGUAAACGCCUACCGAAGGCGACGAUCGGUAGCUGGUCUGAGAGGAUGAUCAGCCACAUUGGGACUGACGACACGGUACCCAAACUCCGUACGGGAGCAGCAGGUAGGGAAUAUGCACAAGUGGGACGGAGCC
rnacentral:rRNA from 1 species